rnacentral:rRNA from 1 species
GACGAACGCUGGCGGCGUACCUAACACAUGCAAGUCGAGCGAGAACGCCUCCUUCGGGAGGUUAGUAAAGCGGCGAACGGGUGAGUAACACGUGAGCGAUCUACCCGACGGCGGGGGAUAACCCAGGGAAACCUGAGCUAAUACCGCAUACAGCACCGGCUUGGAAGCCGGAUGUGAAAGCUGGCCUCUCGAAGAAGCUGGCACCAUCGGAUGAGCUCGCGGCCUAUCAGCUAGUUGGUGGGAUAACGGCCUACCAAGGCGAUGACGGGUAGCUGGCGUGAGAGCGUGGCCAGCCACACUGGGACUGAGACACGGCCCANACUCCUACNGGAGGCAGCAGUGGGGAAUAUUGCGCA